rnacentral:lncRNA from 1 species
GAUGAAGAGAAGAUAAGAUUUCAUAACAUACAGUUUAUACUUGUGCAUGUGGAGGUGAGCUAGUGCUUGUCAGCCCUCUUUUGCUCUCGUUCUCCUUGUAAAUGUUUGUGGCUUUCAUGGAAAAUUCUUCUGUUGUGCUUUAAAAGAAGCUUGUGUUCGUGUUCGUGUUCGUGUCUGUGUGUGAGAAAUGGAAAGAGAUGGACCCGAAGGAGGUUUGUUUACUUGGUUCUGCAUUUUGGGUGAAAAACAGCACAAAGUUGAAGCUCUAAAGAUCAAAAGAACAAGUGACAGACUUAAUCAAGAAUGUUUCCGAUGGUUUUCUGAAGAAAAAAGAACAGAAUGAGA